rnacentral:lncRNA from 10 species
GUCUCGUUGCCUUACGUUCCUUACCCUGAUUUCUCCUAUAUGGGAGUCGUGUGAGCUUUUUGAAUAAAUACAUUUCAGUAAAACGUGUCCGUUCCGUCAAAGAAAAAUACCACCAACAAAGAAACACAGAUGUGGUUUACAUGAAAAAUGCGGAUGAUUUUCAGACGGCUAACGCUUAGGAAAGCGGGUGCCUUUGAAAGGACCAGCGUUGCCCGCCCGGCGCCUCCCGGGCUUCCCUGCUCGUCCGCGGACGGGGCGCUGCGGGGCCGGGGGGCGCCGGCUCUUCCUGUGGCCUCCACGCUGGUGCCGCAGCCAGUGCGGUUUUAAAUACCGGAGAAGGUCCCCAAGUCAGGAGAGUCUCUCGGCGCCACGGGUUCCUCUGGGAGUGCGCCCUGGCCUUGCCUUAGGGUUUCAGCCUCGGAGGACCGGUUCUGGGCAGUGGAGAAGGGACCUGAGUUCUGCCUUUCUUUAUCCUCAUCUCUACUCAAGAGCAUACAUUAAUUUUAGGAAUCCUGAUGACAUCCUUCUUUUUAGAGAUCGUUUUGAUGGAUAUAUCUUCCUUGACAGCAAAGUGGCUCACACCUGUAAUCCCAGCACUUUAGGAGGCCAAGGCGGGUGGAUCACGAGGUCAGGAGUUCGAGACCGGCCUGAGCAACAACGUGAAACCCUGUCUCUACUAAAAAUACAAAAAUUAGCCAGGCAUGGUGGCAGGCGCCUGUAGUCCCAGCUACUCGGAAGACUGAGACAGGAGAAUUGCUUGAACCUGGGAGGCGGAGGUUGCAGUGAGCCGAGAUCAUGCCACUGCAUCCCAGCCGGGGCGACGGAGCAAAAAAAUAUGCCUAGAAUAUCCUGCAGUGGUAGAGUUUGCUCCAUUCCAGAAGAUAGCCAAAAAGAAGCUGAGAAAAAAAGAUGCCAAGACUGGAAGCAUCGAAGAUGAUCCAGAAUAUAAGAAGUUUUUAGAAACCUACUGUGUGGAGGAAGAGAAGACCAGUGCCAACCCUGAGACUCUGCUGGGGGAGAUGGAGGCGAAGACAAGAGAGCUCAUUGCUAGAAGAACCACACCUCUUUUGGAAUAUAUUAAAAAUAGAAAAUUAGAAAAGCAGAGAAUUCGAGAAGAGAAGCGAGAAGAACGGAGGAGGAGAGAGUUAGAAAAGAAACGUUUGCGGGAAGAGGAAAAAAGAAGAAGAA